CUGCUUUCGUCCCACCUUGAAUGUCUUCAUCCAGCAAUCCAGCAACCUAUUUGCUAGUAUUCCUCUCUAUCUCACAGAGAUCUAUGACUUGUCUACAAAUGCAGAAUACAGUUGGUAUAGUUCUGUUCAUUGAGCUAUGAAAAGAGUAAUGUAAAUCUAAUAAGGGUGCAGAAAAGAACAGCGAGAAGCAUCAAGGAGAGGAAGCAACACCCUUAUGAGAAACAGGAUAAUCCAUAUGGUCAAUACUACAUGGAAUUGUGCCCAGAGAAGAACCAUUUUCAGAAUCCCUUUUCCUGAGGUCAACUUUGAAGUACCAUUUUAAAAACAGCAUUUCAUAUGGAAUGCCAUCCAUGGCCCCUGGCCAUGCUGGCUAGGAGGUGCUGGGAGGUGUAGUCCAGAAAAUGCUGAUCAUAAUGAUUUAGAAUUUGUUGAAUGGGAAAUGAAGCUAUAAUUUUGACCAUGUUCAUUUUAAAAGAAAUAAAUAAAAUGCACUGAAAGCCACUGAAGUAUUAGUCAUGAAGUUCAAAGUUACUACAGCUUUACAUGUGAAGAUACAUUGUUGAGUGUGCACUAUUCCCCCCUCCCCCCCCAAAUAUCGAGCAAAUGUUUAAACUGGUAGCUAUGACAACUGCCUUCUUAAUUAAAGCAAUUGUCUGGGGUACCUGUCUUUAAUGGUAGCCGUAGCAAUCCAUUAUGAACAAGCAGCAAUGUGGGUGAACAAGACUGCCCUACCAUUAUGUUGAUAGAAGCAGCUACCUCAGGCAGUGAUGCAGAAGAGCUAGGAAUAAACAGAGCUGUUGGAAUGGGAUUCCAGUUAAGAAUCAUCCUGCUCAGCUCUUGUAUUUGGCAUGCGGAAGACACCAUCUUGGGCAACUUAGGUGGCAAAAUGUCCUGGGCUACCUUUGCAGACUACCAGUUCAUGCAAAAACAAGGCAACAUCAGAUUUUCCAACAUUGCACACAUCCUGGUGAUGUUCAAGAUCUCUCCAAGGACAAUAUACCACCAGAAGACAGAAAGAUCUCAGCUUCAUCUAGUUUAAUUUUGCAAAAGAACUGCAGAGCUGGAAGGGACCCUAUGGAUCA